GAUGAACGCUGGCGGUGUGACCUAACACAUGCAAGUCGAGCGAUCUUCUUCGGAAGAGAGCGGCGGACGGGUGAGUAACGCGUGGGUAACCUGCCCUGUACACACGGAUAACAUACCGAAAGGUAUGCUAAUACGAGAUAAUAUGCUUUUGUCGCAUGGUAGAAGUAUCAAAGCUCCGGCGGUACAGGAUGGACCCGCGUCUGAUUAGCCAGUUGGUGAGGUAACGGCUCACCAAGGCGACGAUCAGUAGCCGACCUGAGAGGGUGAUCGGCCACAUUGGAACUGAGACACGGUCCAAACUCCUACGGGAGGCAGCAGUGGGGAAUAUUGUAUUAUGGGCGAAAGCCUGAUGCAGCAACGCCGCGUGAGCGAUGAAGGCCUUCGGGUCGUAAAGCUCUGUCCUCAAGGAAGAUAAUGACGGUACUUGAGGAGGAAGCCCCGGCUAACUAC
rnacentral:rRNA from 1 species